rnacentral:piRNA from 1 species
AUAAAUACGAAAAACUCAAAACAGAGCU